UGCAAGUCGAACGAGAGAUGAGGAGCUUGCUCUUCAAAUCGAGUGGCGAACGGGUGAGUAACGCGUGAGGAACCUGCCUCAAAGAGGGGGACAACAGUUGGAAACGACUGCUAAUACCGCAUAAGCCCACGGCUCGGCAUCGAGCAGAGGGAAAAGGAGCAAUCCGCUUUGAGAUGGCCUCGCGUCCGAUUAGCUAGUUGGUGAGGUAACGGCCCACCAAGGCGACGAUCGGUAGCCGGACUGAGAGGUUGAACGGCCACAUUGGGACUGAGACACGGCCCAGACUCCUACGGGAGGCAGCAGUGGGGAAUAUUGCACAAUGGGGGAAGCCCUGAUGCAGCGACGCCGCGUGGAGGAAGGAGGUCUUCGGAUUGUAAACUCCUGUUGUUGAGGAAGAUAAUGACGGUACUCAACAAGGAAGUGACGGCUAACUACGUGCCAGCAGCCGCGGUAAAACGUAGGUCACAAGCGUUGUCCGGAAUUACUGGGUGUAAAGGGAGCGCAGGCGGGAGAACAAGUUGGAAGUGAAAUCCAUGGG
rnacentral:rRNA from 1 species